AAAAGAAUCCACCAUUGAAGAAACUACUUAGAGCUUGAAUGGCUUCGAAUAAGGUCUCUUCCUCUCUGUGCUUUCUUUCUCUAGGUUUGAGGAACUCUAAAAAUCGAGGACACACCUUUCUCUAGCCAUGUAGAACGCCUCCACUCCUUUCUCUCUCUAGAUUUUGGGAAUAGGGGGCGUGUAAGGUUAUCAGGACGGGAAAUAUAAUGGUUCUUGAAACAAAGAAUGGGCAACCAUCAAUCAAUGGAACUUGUUGCCUUUCGAGUGGCAGUGUCGUGCAUGUUUUUUUUCUUUCUUUUUUUUUUCUCUUUCAUGUGGUUUCACACGUCGCGCAUGGUGCCAUGCGUCAGUUCUGUUUCCCCUUCUGUUUGUGCAUCUCUAUCUCUCGACGAGAUUUGUAGACGGCGCUGCUCAUCUCCAUCCGCAUAUAUAUCCUCGACGUCUCAACGAAGAACACAGGUAACGAAGCUUGAGCUUUAGAUGUUUAUGCUGUUUUGUUUGCUAUACUACUUGUUAAGAUGCUGAUUUUUGUUUUAUUUACCAUGCGAUGGCUACCAAAGGGUAGUCGAUUGGGAAGAGCUCUGGCUUUUUAUUUACCAUGCGAUGUUCUACUUGUUUAGAUGCUGAUUUUUGUUUGUUCUCUUGUUUUGGCAGAUGAAAACGCUUCCAGGGAAAUUGGAGAAUUGGAUCAUCACAAACUGCUCGAGAUUUUGUUUCAAUGGAAAGUAGAUGAAGAAUCGGUGUUUAGGUUUUUCAAAUGGUGGGUAAAAUGGUAGAAGACCAAAAGUGGAUAAAAUGGUAGAAGACCAAAAGUUGCUAGAUGCAGUUAUUGAGAAGGGUCCGGUUCUUAAUCUUGUAAUAAAUAAUUAUUUCAAACAUGUAAAAAAAAAAAA
rnacentral:lncRNA from 1 species